rnacentral:rRNA from 1 species
UACGGAGGGGGCUAGCGUUGUUCGGAAUUACUGGGCGUAAAGCGCAUGUAGGCGGCUUUGCAAGUCAGAGGUGAAAGCCCGGGGCUCAACCCCGGAAUUGCCUUUGAGACUGCAUCGCUAGAAUUGUGGAGAGGUAAGUGGAAUUCCGAGUGUAGAGGUGAAAUUCGUAGAUAUUCGGAAGAACACCAGUGGCGAAGGCGACUUUCUGGACACAUAUUGACGCUGAGGUGCGAAAGCGUGGGUAGCAAACAGG